rnacentral:rRNA from 1 species
GGGGAAUAUUGGGCAAUGGACGCAAAUCUGACCCAGCAACGCCGCGUGAAGGAAGAAGGCUUUCGGGUUGUAAACUUCUUUUAAGGGGGAAGAGCAGAAGACGGUACCCCUUGAAUCAGCCACGGCUAACUACGUGCCAGCAGCCGCGGUAAUACGUAGGUGGCAAGCGUUGUCCGGAUUUACUGGGUGUAAAGGGCGUGCAGCCGGGAAGGCAAGUCAGAUGUGAAAUCUGGAGGCUCAACCUCCAAACUGCAUUUGAAACUGCUUUUCUUGAGUAUCGGAGAGGUAAUCGGAAUUCCUUGUGUAGCGGUGAAAUGCGUAGAUAUAAGGAAGAACACCAGUGGCGAAGGCGGAUUACUGGACGACAACUGACGGUGAGGCGCGAAAGCGUGGGGAACAAACA